rnacentral:rRNA from 1 species
CAAUCUGCCUUGGAGUGGGGGAAUAACGGCUGGAAACAGCCGCUAAUACCGCAUGAAGCAGCUGGGAGGGCAUCUCCCUGGCUGUCAAAGAUUUAUCGCUCUGAGAUGAGCUCGCGUCUGAUUAGCUAGUUGGCGGGGUAACGGCCCACCAAGGCGACGAUCAGUAGCCGGACUGAGAGGUUGGCCGGCCACAUUGGGACUGAGACACGGCCCAGACUCCUACGGAAGGCAGCAG